GAGAUUAAUAGGCCCAAGUACCAGCUUAAACCCAAUUACUAGUUUGAGCCCAAUUAACCAUUUUCAUAUUUAAAUAAAUUAAAAUUAAUAACCUUCUUUAAAACAUAAAACAAGUUAAUCUCUCUCUGUUUUCUAUUUCUUCCCCACGCAGACAUCUCUCCCUCUCUUCGCUCCCUCUCUCGGCCGCCUCUCUCUCCCCCCUUCUCCGGCGAACGGCGCCGGUUUUCGCCGUCUCCGGCGCCGCGAGGCCGGCACCUCUCCUUCUCCCCCUUUCUUUCAUUUCUUUCCCCCAAAUUCUCAAGCUACAAACUACCUAGGGUUUUUAAGUUUCCCCAUUUCAAAUCUGCUCGUCCGGUGAACUCCAGUGAAUAACGCCGUCUCCGUCGCUACUGCCGCUGCCUGAACGUUGCGCUGCCGUCCCUGCCUCAGGAAUCGACUAGCGUCGUUGCUUCGAGACCUCUCCGGCGAGCCAGCCCAUCUACUGCUCAAGACUCUUAUCUUUUUUACCAUUCUUUUGUUAUUAAUCUGCUUUCUUAUUCGAAUACUGCAAAAUUAAGGUUUUGAUGGUGAAGCACAGUGUACUAAUUAACUAUGCUUAUGUUUAAUCUGGUGUGGCUAUGUCCUUUCUGCUGUUCUUGAUUGCUUUUUUUUUUAUAUAUACAAGGAAUUGAUUGAAGAACAUACGGAGAUACAAACAGAGAUACUACCUGCUUGGUUAAGUGAACUGCUGUGAGAGAUUUUUGGACAUGAUUGGUGAACUGCUGUGACAGAUUCUUGGAGAUAAUUGGUGAACUGAACCGAGUUGCAGGGUGAAGAAAAAUGGCUGAUCGUGAGAAGGAAAAUACUUAUACUAUCUCUAAGGCGGUUUGGAAAAUAGCUGAGUAAUGAGUAGCCACGUGUUGUUUGAGCAGCCAAUAUACUUUGAUAAUCCAAUUUGCACAAUUGUACUAAUAAGAGUAGGUUAAUCUUAAAAGAGUUGAA